CUUGACUUGAUUCUUCUUAUAUACUUUCAUUUACUUUGUCAUUCAUUUUUACUUUCUUAUGCUCUAUACUCUAUUUGCUCCCUAUCCGGUGGAGUUGGGAAGGGGCACGAGGUACUACCACUAGCCUCCCUCUUGUGCCGUCCCUAAUAUGCCCUACACCGAAUAGUUGGGUCAAAUAGUGCCGGGUACUACCACUAGCCUCCCCAUUGGCACCAUCCCUAUGAUGAGCAAUAUAGAAAGGUUAAAAUGUUUACUUCAAAUUCUCCUUGUUUAAGUGUAAUUAAUUAUGGAUUUUAUUCCUUCCAAAUGUGCCGAAUAUAUUAUGCUUGUUUUGCUUUUCCUUAAGAUUGAAGU
rnacentral:lncRNA from 1 species